CAAAUAAGGCUGCUACAAACAUUUGUGUACAAGUUGUUGUGUGCACAUCUGUUUUCAGUUGUCUUGGACAUAUACCUAGAAAUGGAACUGCUUGGUCUCAUGCCACUCCAUGUUUAACUCUUGAGAAACGACCAAACUGUUUUCUACCGCAGCUGCAACUGCCCCAUUUUAUGUUCACCCCAGAAAUAUGUGAGGGUUUCAAUUUCUCCAAAUUCUUACCAGUACUUGUUAUUCAUCUUUUUGAUUAUAAUUAUCUAAUAGGUGUGAAGUGGUAUGCAUUGUGGUUUUGAUUUGCAUUUGCCUAAUGACUAAUGAUGUUGAACAUCUUUUCAUAUACCUGUCAUCUACUAUAGAUCCUCUUUGGAGAAACGUCUAUUCAAAACCUUAACCCAUUUGAAAAAUCCACCGUGUCUUCAGGGGCCAGCAUGAGCACCUGCCAGAGCCUGAUGGAGCAGCUCAGGCUGGAGGUUGGGGUGGAGAGGAUCAUGGUCUCUCCAGGGGCCUCAGAGCCUCAUCACUACAGGGUGCAGAAUGGCUGCCAGAAUGCUCUGCUGGUCUGUGUUCCAGUUAGAAGCGACCCCUGCCAGGAGCCCAGAUCCUGAGCCUUACUCUGAAGAGUGCAGGGCAGCAGUUGGUGGAGGAGGCCCUUCAGACACAAUGUGAUGAAUGAUGCCUUUAAGUCUCAAGAAAACCUUUUUCUCCAGCCAAAUAACUGAGAUAUUUCAGACCUUCCCUGUGGCUGGUCCUGCAGCCAAAAUUCUACAGAAAUUUGUGAUUUUCCGCUCAAAUAAGGAAACUGACUGAAGGAGUGGAGUUUUAGAUAAUAAUGGCUCAAUUCUUGGUAAAGUGCUUUAUAUGAAGAUAAGCAAAAAAACUUACCAUUCAUCAGGUGGUGAACUGAAAUAUUUUAUUGUUCUUUAUACAAAUUCAAUUUUAAUAUAUUAAAAUUCAUGACUUAAACCUAGAGUAUCAUGUAUGUUUUAUUUGUUGGAUGCUUACAUUUUAGGAAAGAAAACAUUUUCAUUUAUUUAAAAAAUGAAUAUUUGUAAUUUCUGGUUUCUAAGAUUUUUAUACUACAAUAAAAUUUGUUCUUUUAUCCUGAAUUUGCAAUUACUAAGUAAAGAUAAGAAAGUAUAAAAUUGGAGGGAAGAAAGAAUAGGCAUUACUAAUUCAAUGAUGACUUAAUUUUUCUAAAGGAAGAAAGUUGUUUUAUUCGUAACACUAAACAUGGGAGAUGUUUCUUAGCAAACUAGUUUGGAAAGGUUAUUGGUAUGAUGUAUAUUAGGUUCUCCCAUCUUGUGUAUUGUUAUGGUUUAGAUAUGAGGUGUCCCCCAAAAGCUCAUAUGUGAGUCAACGCAAGAAAGUUUAGAGAAGAUACAAUUGGAUUAUGAAUCUUAACCUAAUCAAUGCAUUAAUCCCCUGAUAGAGAUUAACUGGGUGGUAGGAAGUUAGGGUGUGGAUGGAGGAGGUAGGUCAUUGGGGGCAUGCCUUUGGGGCACAUAUGUGGUCUAUGGUGAGGGAGUCUCAGUCUCUCUCUCUUUCUUUCUCUCUCUCAUUCUCCCCCCCACACACGCACACACCUUCCUGGUGCAAUUUUCUGAGCUGCUUUGCUCUGUCACACCCUUCUGCCAUGAUGUUCUGCCUCACCUCAGGCCCUGAGGAUUGGAAUCUGCCAUCUAUGCCCUGAGACCUCUGAAAUCCUAGUGGCAAAUAAACUUUUACUCCUCUAAAGUUGUUCUUGUCAGGUCUUGUGGUCAUAGCAGUGAAAAAACUGACUAAAACACAUAUGAAACUGAUAAAAUCUCUUUUUAAGUUCCUUUACCUUAUAGUAGUGGUUGCAGUUUUUUAAAAAUACUACAUUG
rnacentral:lncRNA from 1 species